UACAGAGGUCCCAAGCGUUGUUCGGAUUCACUGGGCGUAAAGGGUGCGUAGGUGGUGAGGUAAGUCGGAUGUGAAAGCUCGGAGCUCAACUCCGAAAUGGCAUUGGAAACUACCUUGCUCGAGGGUUGGAGGGGGGACUGGAAUACUUGGUGUAGCAGUGAAAUGCGUAGAUAUCAAGUGGAACACCAGUGGCGAAGGCGGGUCUCUGGGCCGAUACUGACGCUGAGGAGCGAAAGCGUGGGGAGCAAACAGG
rnacentral:rRNA from 1 species